CCCUGGUUAGCUCAGUUGGUAGAGCGCUCCACUUGUAAUGGAGAGGUCCC
rnacentral:tRNA from 1 species